UUUGGGGCCGUAUUAUUAUAUUUAAAUCCCGAAAGAUUUCAAAGGGAUGGCGGAACGGUCUUUAACAGUUUGUGUCGCGAAAAAAACAAAUAUUGUUAUCCGUAAUAAUGACGCUCAUAAAGUUAUUAGUAAAAUUCUCGUGAUAUUUCCUUACCUUUUGCAAAAAAUUCGAAGACGUCCCCGACGAAAAACAACCGAAAUAUCGGUUUCCCCACACGCGUUAAGUACAAGUACAACGAUACGGAAUAUCAAAUUAGAAAUAAGUAUUAUCGGGGAAAAAAAAAAAAUUGACCAGUCGAAAAUUCCGUUUCGAACGCACACAGCGAAGGUAGAAAAAAAAAUUUAAUAUUUAGAUAACAGGAAAAAUAAUAAUAAACGGAUUACGGCGUUUCGUACGAUUACGCGACGUGGUCGGUGUCGACCGCGAUCGGAGACGGACGCGGCGGCGAACGUUACGGCAGCGAACGCGAAUGAGACGGCCGACGGA